AUUCCGGAACUCUGGGAUCACGCCCUGAGCCAAAGGCAGACAUUCAACCACUGAGCCACCCAAGCAUCCCACCAAAGCACUUUUUCUAUAAUGGUUUCCUUCCUCAGCCAGAUUUGCUACGACUCUUCACAUCAAAUGAAGCAAAAGAUUGCUGUAGAGAGCUGAACACAGGGAACAAACAAUGCAUUAAAAAGUUCUUUGUUGCAAGAAAAAUGCAAGACAAACAAUAAAGUUCAUAAAAACAUAUACAUUUAUAAUUGUGUCUUCAUUACUAACAGUCCUGAGCAGUUGAAUUGCCAGUUAGUAUGAGGUUUUCAAAACAGGCCUAAAUAACAUUCCACCAUAAAAAUAACAUUCAUAUGUAACCACUGACAAAUUGCCACUUGGCUAAGUUAUCUUGUUUCUAAUUUUACAGGUGUUAGAUCUGGCUUGCUUCAGUCAGCUUCUUUGUCAGUCUCAUCACCUGUGAUUUCCAGUUAAAACUUUAUCACACUUAGAUGAUUGGAAAACAGUAUAGACAUGUGAGGAAAUGAUUCAACUUCUGUGACACGAGCAUUCCUUAAUAAUUACUAGAAAAAUCUCCUGAGGGAACAUAUUCACAAACAUCCAAU
rnacentral:lncRNA from 1 species